AUUGAACGCUGGCGGCAUGCCUUACACAUGCAAGUCGAACGGCAGCACGGGGGCAACCCUGGUGGCGAGUGGCGAACGGGUGAGUAACAUAUCGGAACAUACCCUAGAGUGGGGGAUAACGUAGCGAAAGUUACGCUAAUACCGCAUACGAUCUAAGGAUGAAAGUGGGGGAUCUUCGGACCUCAUGCUCAUGGAGUGGCCGAUAUCUGAUUAGCUAGUUGGUGAGGUAAAGGCUCACCAAGGCGACGAUCAGUAGCUGGUUUGAGAGAACGACCAGCCACACUGGAACUGAGACACGGUCCAGACUCCUACGGAGGCAGCAGUGGGGAAUUUUGGACAAUGGGGGCAACCCUGAUCCAGCAAUGCCGCGUGAGUGAAGAAGGCCUUCGG
rnacentral:rRNA from 1 species